AUACUUAGCGGCGGACGGGUGAGUAACACGUAGGCAACCUGCCUGACAACCUGGGAUAACUUCCGGAAACGGAUGCUAAUACCGGAUACAUCGUUUCUUCGCAUGAGGAGAUGAGGAAAGACGGCGCAAGCUGUCGGUGUCAGAUGGGCCUGCGGCGCAUUAGCUAGUUGGUGGGGUAACGGCUCACCAAGGCGACGAUGCGUAGCCGACCUGAGAGGGUGAACGGCCACACUGGGACUGAGACACGGCCCAGACUCCUACGGGAGGCAGCAGUAGGGAAUCUUCCACAAUGGGCGAAAGCCUGAUGGAGCAAUGCCGCGUGAGUGAUGAAGGUUUUCGGAUCGUAAAGCUCUGUUGCCAGGGAAGAACGUCCGGGUGAGUAACUGCACCCGGAGUGACGGUACCUGAGAAGAAAGCCCCGGCUAACUACGUGCCAGCAGCCGCGGUAAUACGUAGGGGGCAAGCGUUGUCCGGAAUUAUUGGGCGUAAAGCGCGUGCAGGCGGCGGUUUAAGUCGGAUGUUUAAGAUCGGGGCUCAACCCCGAUUCGCAUCCGAAACUGGGCCGCUUGAGUGUAGGA
rnacentral:rRNA from 1 species